rnacentral:miRNA from 1 species
UGAGGUAGUGGUUUGUGUAGUU